rnacentral:tRNA from 1 species
GCCCGGAUAGCUCAGCUGGUAGAGCAAAGAUUUGAACUCCUUGUGUCCUUGGUUCGAUCCCGAGUCCGGGCACCA